rnacentral:rRNA from 1 species
AUUGAACGCUGGCGGCAGGCCUAACACAUGCAAGUCGAGCGGAUAAAGGGAGCUUGCUCCUGGAUUCAGCGGCGGACGGGUGAGUAAUGCCUAGGAAUCUGCCUGGUAGUGGGGGAUAACGUCCGGAAACGGGCGCUAAUACCGCAUACGUCCUGAGGGAGAAAGUGGGGGAUCUUCGGACCUCACGUUAUCAGAUGAGCCUAGGUCGGAUUAGCUAGUUGGUGGGGUAAAGGCCUACCAAGGCGACGAUCCGUAACUGGUCUGAGAGGAUGAUCAGUCACACUGGAACUGAGACACGGUCCAGACUCCUACGGGAGGCAGCAGUGGGGAAUAUUGGACAAUGGGCGAAAGCCUGAUCCAGCCAUGCCGCGUGUGUGAAGAAGGUCUUCGGAUUGUAAAGCACUUUAAGUUGGGAGGAAGGGCAGUAAGUUAAUACCUUGCUGUUUUGACGUUACCAACAGAAUAAGCACCGGCUAACUUCGUG